rnacentral:lncRNA from 1 species
UUUAGUUUCAUCUCAACAACCUUUCUCAAAAGUUGGUUGCUUUAAUGACUUUGGAUUAAUCUCUGAAAAACGACCUUUUCCAAAUUAUGUUAAUUACCGUUCUUUGAUUGACUGGAGCAACCAAAAAACCAGCUUUGAAAAUAUAACAAUGCUGUGUUCUUCUUAUGCUAAAAACAAUGGGUUUGAAUACUUUGGAAUUGAAUUUUGGGGUGAGUGUUGGACUGGUGCAACAACUGAUAUAAACUAUGCUCGAGACGGAGAAUCUAAUCGAUGCUGGCCAACUCCAGAUAAAAAUUUGGGUCCAAUGCUUGUUGGACAAGACUCAACCAUUAUGGUUUAUAAACGCAAUUAACAGAAUUAAUAAAUGUUUUAACAAAAGAUGAAAACAUUUGAAGCAAAAUGAAGUAAAGAUACAAUUAUAAUUAAAAAGUGUAAACUUAUGGAUAU